UACGUAGGGGGCAAGCGUUGUCCGGAAUCAUUGGGCGUAAAGCGCGUGUAGGCGGCCAGAUAAGUCCGUUCUGAAAGCCCGGGGCUCAACCCCGGGAGGCGGAUGGAUACUGUUUGGCUCGAGUCCGGAAGAGGCGAGUGGAAUUCCUGGUGUAGCGGUGAAAUGCGCAGAUAUCAGGAAGAACACCCGUGGCGAAGGCGGCUCUCUGGGACGGUACUGACGCUGAGACGCGAAAGCGUGGGGAGCGAACAGG
rnacentral:rRNA from 1 species